AUGUAUAUAUACAUGUGUGUGUGUAUAAUCUAAACAAUAUAGGUAAGACAUGUAGCUGUUCAUACACGUUGUUGUUCACAUCUACCGAGGUUCACCUACGCCACUGCUAAUGUUCACAGACGCUAGUAUUCACUCACAAGGCUGUUCACAACCAUUGCCGUACGCAUACAUCCACCUAUGCCCUUCGUACAGCAACAAACACCAUUUUUCUAUUAACCAGAGAAACACAAAGUGAUUUAUCAUAAACGACAGAGAUACGUUACACAAUAACUAUUUAGAUCUUUAAUUGUUUUAAGUUCAAACCCCACUAAAGUCACUUUGCCUCUAGUGGUUCUUCCACAGUCAAUAACAUAAUUACCAGUAAGCUUCUCGAACCAAUACAAUUCAAAAAUAUUUUAGCAAACCUGAAAAUUACACAAUAUUUUUUGCUUUAUUCCAAAUGAUAGAUUGGCCAGGGAAAUAAUGUUACGAAAAAUUAGCGCCACGCUCUUUUUUUUUUUUUUUCAAUUUUUAUUUUUCAUAUUUUAUCUUAUUUAUUUAUUUGUUUGUUGUCACUUUACAACAAAGUUAUGGAAGAAUCUCCAUUCUUUCGUUUUGAAAUGACGAUCACAUCUCAGAAUCUACAGAAUAUAAUCCCCAUUAACCCAUUUCUCAAAAUGGUUUUGAAGAAUGUCGUCUGCCAAAUUUGUCACGGCUAUGGUACAAGGUUGCAGCAAAAAUCGAUAGAUGGACAGAUAAUUGAGGUAUUCUUUGUGAAAAGGUUGUAAUUAAACAGAUAUUUGCUCAUUCCUGGAAUUCCUCAAACAAUUCAAACAUUCCUUUGGGGAAGAAGAGAGAACUGUUCUUUGUGAAGCCACAGAGAUGCCAAAAAAGGUAAAGCAAAGCAAAGGGGGAACCUAUAUGUGAUUGUUUAUUAUAGAUCUACUUGAUCACGGCUGACCUAGGGCUAAAUAACAGCCACAAGAGAAAAUUGCGUCACAAGGGAAGAUCUACAAGUUCUUCCAUUCCUAUUUGGAAAGGAGAAGUUCAGAAUUAUUUCGAGGAAAUAAUCUCAAUUCUAUGGUAAGAAAGAAAAUUCCUCGACAGCCAUGAUCGUAUAACCGAACUGGUUAGUACGGACCCGUAGAACAUCCACAGAUGGUGGUUGUAACAUAAAUACACAAGAAAGUUUGAUGGAAUGUUUUAACUGAAAUCACUCCAAAUCGGGAAGAUUGUGCUAUAGGACCAAAGGCAGUCUCGAGAUGUGUACCAAAAGAACCCACAUUUUUACACUGAGCUACAAAAAUGGCUUCAUGCUUCUUCAAAAAGAAAUCCCUGUAUUGUAUUCAUGUCGAGGAAAGAAUGGCCGUAAGGGGAUAUAAUUUCAAGAUUAGGUUCGAAGAAUAUUAAAGGAUGAGGAGUGGCAAAACACAAUGAAAGGAAACAUCUGAAUGCGAUCUUGAAUAGAGAUUUAUCAGAAACAAAAACCUUCGCCUCUUACCCCGACCUCGUCCAUACAAUAAUUUCCUUCCCGGCUGCUGGCUCCACUUAACAGACGACCUCAAUCGCUGAAUCACACAUUGCUUUUUCCGCUUCUUUCAUUGAACUUGCUAAAACCAUUGUUCUCUGGUUUUUAAAACAUCUGCUCAAACAAUCGAUAGAUGUUUUAGGAAUUAAAAGUGAAAAUAAAAAUUCCUAUAAU